GUGUGCCAGUGAUGAUUAAAGAUCUAGCAAUGGUGAAUUCGAUGAAUGUGCUUGUGUGCCGCUGAGUACGCAGCUGUGGUGAUAUACAUUCUUACGCAGUACAUCUGAGGCAACC
rnacentral:snoRNA from 1 species